rnacentral:rRNA from 1 species
UUUGACCUACGGGGCGCAGCAGUAGGGAAUCUUCGGCAAUGGGGGGAACCCUGACCGAGCAACGCCGCGUGAGUGAAGAAGGUUUUCAGAUCGUAAAGCUCUGUUGUAAGAGAAGAACGUUAGCGGGAGUGGAAAAUCCGCUAAGUGACGGUACCUUACCAGAAAGGGACGGCUAACUACGUGCCAGCAGCCGCGGUAAUACGUAGGUCCCGAGCGUUGUCCGGAUUUAUUGGGCGUAAAGCGAGCGCAGGCGGUUUGAUAAGUCAGAAGUAAAAGGCUUGGGCUGAACCAUAGGACGCUUUUUA